rnacentral:misc_RNA from 1 species
AACGCACAUUGCGCCUAUUAGUAUUCUAGUAGGCAUGCCUGUUCGAGCGUCAUUACAAUACUCAGACAUAUUUCUGAAGUUGAAACAUAUGGCACCAUAGUUUCUAAAUACAAUAACGGAUAUAAUGAUAAAGCCGAGUGUAGUACUAUCUUCGCUAAGGUUUUUCGUUAGUUUCGUAAAACUCCAAAACAUGUUGACCUCGAAUCAGGUAGGAAUACCCGCUGAACUUAA